rnacentral:rRNA from 1 species
UACAGAGAGUGCGAGCGUUAAUCGGAAUUACUGGGCGUAAAGCGCACGUAGGUGGAUAUUUAAGUUGGAUGUGAAAUCCCUGGGCUUAACCUAGGAAUUGCAUUCAAUACUGGGUAUCUAGAGUAUAGUAGAGGGAAGUGGAAUUUCUGGUGUAGCGGUGAAAUGCGUAGAUAUCAGAAGGAACAUCAGUGGCGAAAGCGGCUUCCUGGACUAAUACUGACACUUAGGUGCGAAAGCGUGGGGAGCAAACAGG